rnacentral:rRNA from 1 species
CCUACGGGAGGCUGCAGUGAGGAAUAUUGGUCAAUGGACGAGAGUCUGAACCAGCCAAGUAGCGUGAAGGAUGACUGCCCUAUGGGUUGUAAACUUCUUUUAUAAAGGAAUAAAACGAGGCACGUGUGCCUUUUUGCAUGUACUUUAUGAAUAAGGAUCGGCUAACUCCGUGCCAGCAGCCGCGGUAAUACGGAGGAUCCGAGCGUUAUCCGGAUUUAUUGGGUUUAAAGGGAGCGUAGAUGGGUUGUUAAGUCAGUUGUGAAAGUUUGCGGCUCAACCGUAAAAUUGCAAUUGAUACUGGCAUUCUUGAGUACAGUUGAGGUAGGCGGAAUUCGUGGUGUAGCGGUGAAAUGCUUAGAUAUCACGAAGAACCCCGAUUGCGAAGGCAGCUUACUAAACUGUGACUGACAUUGAUGCUCGAAAGUGUGGGUAUCAAACAGGAUUAGAUACCCCGGUAGUC